rnacentral:piRNA from 1 species
UGUUUGCAUAGACAAAGUCAAGGGUGUUUC